AAAGGAAUUGACGGGGACCCGCACAAGCGGUGGAUGAUGUGGAUUAAUUCGAUGCAACGCGAAAAACCUUACCUACCCUUGACAUGUCCGGAAUUCUCCAGAGACGGAGAAGUGCUCGCAAGAGAAUCGGAACACAGGUGCUGCAUGGCUGUCGUCAGCUCGUGUCGUGAGAUGUUGGGUUAAGUCCCGCAACGAGCGCAACCCUUGCCAUUAGUUGCCACAUUCAGUUGGGCACUCUAAUGGGACUGCCGGUGACAAACCGGAGGAAGGUGGGGAUGACGUCAAGUCCUCAUGGCCCUUAUGGGUAGGGCUUCACACGUCAUACAAUGGUCGGGACAGAGGGUUGCCAAGUCGCAAGGCGGAGCCAAUCCCAGAAACCCGAUCGUAGUCCGGAUCGCAGUCUGCAACUCGACUGCGUGAAGUCGGAAUCGCUAGUAAUCGCGGAUCAGCAUGUCGCGGUGAAUACGUUCCCGGGUCUUGUACACACCGCCCGU
rnacentral:rRNA from 1 species